CCUACGGGAGGCAGCAGUGGGGAAUAUUGCACAAUGGGCGAAAGCCUGAUGCAGCAACGCCGCGUGAAGGAAGAAGGGUUUCGGCUCGUUAACUUCUAUCAACAGGGACGAAAGAAAUGGCGGGACCUGAAUAAAAAGCCCCGGCUAACUACGUGCCAGCAGCCACGGUAAUCCGUAGGGGGCAGUCUUUAGCCGGAAUUACUGGGUGUAAAGGUUGAGUAGGCGGCAUGGUGAGCCAGAUGUGAAAGCCUUGGGCUUAACCCGAGGCUCGCAGUUGGAAAUAUCCAGCUAGAGUACAGGAGAGGAAAGCGGAAUACCUAGUGUAGCGGUGAAAUGCGUAGAUAUUAGGAAGAACACCAGUGGCGAAGGCGGCUUUCUGGACUGAAACUGACGCUGAGGCACGAAAGCGUGGGGAGCGAACAGGAUUAGAUACCCUUGUAGUC
rnacentral:rRNA from 1 species